UGCAUGGGGGCACCCCCUCUCCCUCCGCGGUGUCCAUUCCCAGGGGCCGAGCUGAUCCAGCCCCUCCAGCCCCACAGCACUUUCUUCCACCCUCCAGAUGCCUGUUUGGGCCAGGAGACCCCUCCCCAGCCUUACUGCCCCUCAUCCCUUCGUGCCCUGGCACCCACCCAUUCUGUCAGCAGAGUGGGUGCAGCUGACGCGGUGCCCCUUGUCCCCCCCAGGACCAGGAGCAGUGCCGGGGGGAAGUGGAGGGGUGGGGGAGACCCUCCCAGCUGUGCGGGGCAGCUCUGCCAGGGCCGAGAUGUGGCCGGACCCUCCCGCUGCCGCGGAGAAACCCCGUGGCAGGCAGCGCCGUCAGCAGCUGGAGCUGGAGGCGCUUCGGGCCCGGCUGGCACAGGCAGAGCAGGACAUGGAAACUGUGCU